GAUUUAAUUAAUUAUACUAUUUUCUUUUCUUUUUUAUGCUUUUCACUUUGACCUUCCAAGCUUGUGUGUGGCGUAUGAAAUUGGUCAAAUCCACUGAUCUAUAUAUGUUCUAUAUUAUAGAUCAGUGGUCAAAUCUCAAACUAGAUGACUUUUAUUUUGAAAUCGCGUCUAAUUUGACGCUCACACCCGUUCUGGAAGUGGAAGCUUUUAUCAACGGAAGUAGAUUGAGUAAUAGUCGGUCUCCGCUGAUCGAAUGCACCUUACGAUCUACUUUUAGGGGCGGCGAGGUAAACUUGCUAGAGGUUCAGGGAUUUCUUCAGCUCUCCACCUUUUGCUUUAGGACAGGCUUCCAGCCAUGUCUGCUGUGGUGGAUCUAA
rnacentral:lncRNA from 1 species